GAAAGCCGUAUACAUCGAGAGAUGUACGUACGGUUUGGGAGGAGACUAUCGGAAACCUAGCGUAGCAAUACGUCCAAGGCGCUGGUAGUCGACCUUAC
rnacentral:ncRNA from 1 species